ACACUCCUACGGGAGGCAGCAGUGGGGAAUUUUGGACAAUGGGCGAAAGCCUGAUCCAGCCAUGCCGCGUGCAGGAUGAAGGCCUUCGGGUUGUAAACUGCUUUUGUACGGAACGAAACGGCCUUUUCUAAUAAAGAGGGCUAAUGACGGUACCGUAAGAAUAAGCACCGGCUAACUACGUGCCAGCAGCCGCGGUAAUACGUAGGGUGCAAGCGUUAAUCGGAAUUACUGGGGGUAAAGCGUGCGCAGGCGGUUAUGUAAGACAGUUGUGAAAUCCCCGGGCUCAACCUGGGAACUGCAUCUGUGACUGCAUAGCUAGAGUACGGUAGAGGGGGAUGGAAUUCCGCGUGCAGCAGUGAAAUGCGUAGAUAUGCGGAGGAACACCGAUGGCGAAGGCAAUCCCCUGGACCUGUACUGACGCUCAUGCACGAAAGCGUGGGGAGCAAACAGGAUUAGAUACCCGUGUAGUCCC
rnacentral:rRNA from 1 species